rnacentral:rRNA from 1 species
GUCGAGCGGAUGAAGAGAGCUUGCUCUCUGAUUCAGCGGCGGACGGGUGAGUAAUGCCUAGGAAUCUGCCUGGUAGUGGGGGACAACGUCUCGAAAGGGACGCUAAUACCGCAUACGUCCUACGGGAGAAAGCAGGGGACCUUCAGGCCUUGCGCUAUCAGAUGAGCCUAGGUCGGAUUAGCUAGUUGGUGAGGUAAUGGCUCACCAAGGCGACGAUCCGUAACUGGUCUGAGAGGAUGAUCAGUCACACUGGAACUGAGACACGGUCCAGACUCCUACGGGAGGCAGCAGUGGGGAAUAUUGGACAAUGGGCGAAAGCCUGAUCCAGCCAUGCCGCGUGUGUGAAGAAGGUCUUCGGAUUGUAAAGCACUUUAAGUUGGGAGGAAGGGCAUUAACCUAAUACGUUGAUGUUUUGACGUUACCGACAGAAUAAGCACCGGCUAACUCUGUGCCAGCAGCCGCGGUAAUACAGAGGGUGCAAGCGUUAAUCGGAAUUACUGGGCGUAAAGCGCGCGUAGGUGGUUUGUUAAGUUGAAUGUGAAAUCCCCGGGCUCAACCUGGGAACUGCAUCCGAAACUGGCAAGCUAGAGUAUGGCAGAGGGUGGUGGAAUUUCCUGUGUAG